GGGUAGUCCUGGCCGUAAACGAUGCAUACUAGGUGAUGGCACGGCCAUGAGCCGUGUCAGUGCCGUAGGGAAACCGUUAAGUGUGCCGCCUGGGAAGUACGGUCGCAAGGCUAAAACUUAAAGGAAUUGGCGGGGGAGCACCACAAGGGGUGAAGCCUGCGGUUCAAUUGGACAACGCCGGAAAACUUACCAGGGGAGACAGCAGUAUGACGGUCAGGUUGACGACCUUACCUAACGAGCUGAGAGGAGGUGCAUGGCCGUCGCCAGUUCGUGCCGUGAGGUAUCCUGUUAAGUCAGGCAACGAACGAGAUCCGCACCUUUAUUUGCCACCAAGAAGUCACGACUUCGUUGGGAACACUAAAGGGACCGCCGUCGAUAAGACGGAGGAAGGAGCGGGCAAAGGCAGGUCAGUAUGCCCCGAAACCCUGGGCUACACGCGGGCUGCAAUGGUAUGAACAAUGGGGCUGUGACUCCGAAAGGGAAAACCAAUCCCGAAAUCAUAUCUCAGUUGGAAUUGUCGGCUGUAACCCGCGACAU
rnacentral:rRNA from 1 species